GUGUCUCCGCCGGUUGAAAGCGCGUGUCUGCGUCGGGUUCUGUUGGAGUGCGUUCGGUGUGCCGUGGGUCCGCGCUGCUUCCACCCAACUUCCUGUUAGUUUCUCUCCUGUCACAAUGGCAUGAUCUCGGCUCACUGCGACCUCUGCUUCCUGGGUUCAAGGAUUCUCCUGCCUCAGCCUCCCAAGUAGCUGGGAUUACAG
rnacentral:lncRNA from 1 species